AAGUUAAAAAUAUAUUUUCCAUAGACAGUAGGUGCGAAAGCAUAAAGUUUAAACUACCUACCGAGGUAUAUAAUAAGUAAGUUUAUUAUAGAUCUUCUCUGUCUAUGGGAAGAUCUUUUUUAAUAGAAUU
rfam:Clostridium botulinum B str. Eklund 17B, complete genome.